UUGAAAGACCGAUUCCCAUACGACCACCGAAGUUAAGUAACGUCAAUCCUGCACAGUACCUAGGUGGGUGACCGCUUGAGAAUACCAAGUACUGUAAG